CCUCAUUCUUCUAGUGAGAGGACUUAACAUUAGAGCUUUAUAGGUAGACUGUCUCACUUAACUGAUGCCAACACUGAAUCUGAAGUUUCAGUUGAGGUAAAACUCCACUAGGCGAAUCAUUACAGACUGUGUUUCUGACCUGGUUUGUGUACGACGCAGAGUCGUUCUUCCUCGUCUGUCACAACGGUGAGGUGAGCGGUCGACAGGCUCUCCUCCUCAGCUGUGGGGUCUACGAACAGUAUGGAG